UCAUUCCCAUUUCAGAGCGGUUCCAUUUUUUCCUUGUUCUCCUUUUAUUUAUAUAGCUGAGGAACCAUUUGUCAUUUUAAUUUCCUUUGCAAUGCUUCACUUUUAGCAGUCUCCGCUGUAUUUCUGCACUUUCUGACUUCCAAGUCAGUUUUCGUUGCUGAUCUGUCUCUUUUUCCAUGUCUUCUAAAUGCUCUGAUUACUUGGACUUAGAGUGAUUAACUUUGCUUUGUUUUAAAAGAGAUGUGGGGUCUUGUGGCGAGAGGCACAUCCCACGCGUUGGGGUGUGUGACUGGGUGUGGAGCUGAAGCUGGCCUGGUCCCUCCAUCGCUGUGGAACUGGGAGCAGGCUCCUGCUUGGAGGAGGGACAGAGGGAACCCAGAGCUCAGGACCGCCUCAGAGAUUGUUGCCAAGAGGCUAAUCGUCUCCUUGCAGAGGCACUAGUGCAAGUGAUUGAGAUGAAGGGGUGUAGCAUCAUCUUGAUGCUGAAGAGCAUUCAUGGAAGUGUUGUUUGGGUCAUGCAGGAAGGAUGAAGGUCUCUGUUCCCAUGUACACCUGUGAGCUUGGAGAAUGCACGAGGUACAUGGGCUGGAGCUUGCUGUGAGCGUGCCACGACCAUGUUAUCCCAUCUGUGGAAAGGUAAAAACUCAAGGCCUGACAUAAGCAGAGGUCAGAUACUAAUGGCAAAUGGGUAGAUGGAAUAAAAGUCACUGACAUCUUCCUACCCUUGAAAACAAAUGAUGUGGCUAAAACACUGCCGUUUUUAUCUUUGUUUCCAAGUGAAGAGACUGAACACACUCCAGAAACAAAAAGGGUAAGCAGCACGGCUAUAACAUGCCGUAUUGGAAGUGACGAGUGAGCAUUUGUAUGGUGACCAAUUUCCUCCCGCAGUUACGUUCAUUUUAAUGUGGCUCCCAUUAAGCACGAUACCUGGUCUCUGCGCUCCCCAGCCAGUCCGGUCUCAGCAAACAACUUUGGAAGUGCAAAAAGGGAAUGGGAAAGGAUGUGCUGCAACGGAGCUGAGGGCUGGGCAAGCACGGGCCUACCGUGCUCAUCUCCUGCAACAGCUCCUCGUAUUGCUCCUUGGUAAAUAACCGCCUGGUGCUACAGCACCAUGGAGAUGUUCCCAAGAGGGGUCCCUGUGGCAAAGCACCCCUACACCAGAAUGGUUUUCUUGGGGUGGGAGAGGAGACCCCGGUGCUCUGGGUGCCAGAGGCCAGGAAUAACCCAGCAGCUGCCAGCUGGGGAGCCCGGGUUUGCAGGCUCUCCAGAACAAGGCUUAAUGAAAAACGCGAAGGAGAAUUAGAUGAAAUGGGCUGACUUGGACAUGGGAAAACGUUCUGCAACAUAAAUCAUAAAUUCUCCCCCGUUUGGAGAGAGGUAAGAAUUUCAUCUUCAUUAAUUUCAUCUGGCAGAUACAGAUAACAAAGCAGCCCUCUGUAUGGGAGAGUGAUCAUCGCUAAGGCUGAUGCAAAGAGACAAGAUGCACUUGGAGACAGGAAAAAUACUUUGCUGAGAAAGUUUCCACUAUUAAUAUUUUUCCCUUGCAAAUGUGGGUCUUCUAAAACACUCUUUUCUUUAGGAAGGAUCCAAAUGAAGAGGAGGUGGGAAGGAGAGUUACAAAGCACCUAAGAAAGCCUCAAAUAUCUGAGUGGGAGGAAGGAAGAAGAAAUGAAAGAAUAAUGAAGCUUGCAUCACUGGGAGCAAACAGAGGAAGGGAAAUGCACAUACUUGUGGCUAAAUUCUGCAGGAACUUAGGCUGAGGUUUAAAGCUGCUGCGGUUAGCACAGAUACAGGCACAGAGCAAUUCAGACGACCUGAUCAAAGGACAAAGAAACGCUGCUGCUGCUUUCAUUAGGAAAAUUACCUGGCUUGGAGUUAAUGAGCAUGUACAGGAAAAAGUGCUUUCUUUAUAGCAUUGACACGGAGUAGACCUGUGAAGGGUAAUCAGCACCUGCAGUGUCUACAAUGACUGUGAUUUGGGGAUUCCUUGAGUGGGGCCAGGACUUUGCCAUUCACGGAGACUCCUGUUGGCAUUCGCGGGAUUUCCAGAUGUGGCGAUACUGCAAACAGAUAAUUACACUUUCACAAGCAAUUUGCAGACGCCUUGUUAUUGACGUGGUGCCCAGGGCCCCCUGCAUUAGCCGUGCUGACAGCUGAGCCAAAAUGUUCGGCUCCCACCUCUCGGGGUUUUUUCAUUAAGACUACACCGGGUGUUUCUACAUGGUGAGCACCGCCAGCAGCUGCCACGCUGACGGCCGCCUACCUGGGCGAGGAGCGAAGCCUGGAAAAACAAAUCUGUGAACUUUGCCUGGGGGCUCCCAGGGCUGUGUAUGCCCCAUGGGACAAACCCAGCCUGUCCGCACAGUGAGGAGUGAGUUUCGGGGAAGCAGCCGAGGUCACGGCCUUCUGUGCAGACACAGGGGCACCAGGGACACAACUGGGACCCCCAGAGGCG